CGGUGGAGCAUGUGGUUUAAUUCGAUGAUACGCGAGGAACCUUACCUGGGCUCAAAUGUAUGUUGACGUAUUCUGAAAGGGAUACUUCUUCGGACAAUAUACAAGGUGCUGCAUGGUUGUCGUCAGCUCGUGCCGUGAGGUGUCGGGUUAAGUCCCAUAACGAGCGCAACCCUAUCAUUAGUUGCCAUCAGGUCAAGCUGGGGACUCUAAUGAAACUGCCUACGCAAGUAGUGAGGAAGGUGGGGAUGACGUCAAAUCAGCACGGCCCUUACGUCCAGGGCUACACACGUGCUACAAUGGCCGGUACAAAGGGCAGCUACCUGGUGACAGGAUGCUAAUCUCAAAAGCCGGUCUCAGUUCGGAUCGGAGUCUGCAACCCGGCUCCGUGAAGCUGGAAUCGCUAGUAAUCGCGCAUCAGCCAUGGCGCGGUGAAUACGUUCCCGGGCCUU
rnacentral:rRNA from 1 species